rnacentral:rRNA from 1 species
GGAGGAAUAUUGGACAAUGGGCGCAAGCCUGAUCCAGCCAUGCCGCGUGCAGGAAGACGGCCCUAUGGGUUGUAAACUGCUUUUGUACGGGAAGAAACACCACUACGCGUAGUGGCUUGACGGUACCGUAAGAAUAAGGAUCGGCUAACUCCGUGCCAGCAGCCGCGGUAAUACGGAGGAUCCAAGCGUUAUCCGGAAUCAUUGGGUUUAAAGGGUCCGUAGGUGGACGAUUAAGUCAGGGGUGAAAUCU